CACCUUUAAUUCUAUAUUUGCCAAUUUGACCUUGCAGUUUUCAUCUAUGAUUACCACUAUGACGUACUUCAGAGAGAGGGAGGAUUCACUCUUUCUUUUGGCUGAUGUCACUGCAACUCCAGCAGAUGUAGAGAGAAGCUUCACUGUUCCCAGCAUCCCAAGGUGAUUGCACUUGGAGAUUCUGUUCUCCAAGCAAAAAUAUGGAUGCUAACUAUGGAGGGCAGAGUCAUCAUCCAGCUGCAGGAGCUAACAGAUUUUUCAUCAGCAUUAGCUGUCCUGUUUGGCUGCUACUAUGUAUUCAAUGUGCAGUACCAGGAAGAGGCGGCCAGUACACUGGAGUUUAUUCAGAGGUUCAUUCUGGGAAUCAACCCUGAUGGCACCAAAUAGCAAUCAAAGUCACACAUCAGCCAAAAAUCUGGAUAGAGGAUGCAAAGAAAAAG